AGGCAAGGGGCGGUGCGACGGGAAGGGGCGGAGGGAAGCGAUUAGAGGUGGGAGUUGGCGUUGCGGGCCGGGCGGGGGCCGUGGAGCUGCGAUGAGGACGGGACCGCGGCGGUGACCGGAGCUGCCGCCCGACAUGAACUCGCUGGAGCAGGCGGAAGAUCUCAAGGCUUUUGAGAGGAGACUUACAGAAUAUAUUCAUUGUUUGCAACCUGCCACUGGACGUUGGAGAAUGCUUCUUAUAGUGGUAUCUGUCUGUACAGCUACUGGUGCCUGGAACUGGUUAAUAGAUCCCGAGACACAGAAGGUGUCCUUCUUCACAUCAUUAUGGAAUCACCCAUUUUUCACCAUUAGCUGUAUCACUCUAAUAGGCUUGUUCUUUGCUGGAAUACACAAGAGGGUCGUUGCACCAUCAAUUAUAGCUGCUCGAUGUCGAACUGUAUUAGCAGAAUAUAAUAUGUCUUGUGAUGAUAUUUUAUUUAUUUAUUUGCGAGAGAGAGAGAGAUAGCAAGAGAGCGUGAGCUGGGAGGAAGGGAGAAGCAGACUCCCUGCUGACCAGGGGAGCUUGACCCCGGGAGCCUGGGAUCAUGACCUGAGCCGAAGGCAAAUGCUUAACUGACCGAGCCACUCAGGCGCUCCUGAAACUGAGUUUUCAUUUGUCCUACCUACCUGUCGCAUUGGCAGAAAUGAAAAGUCCGGUGUUGUGAAGUGGACGCAGCCAUGCGCUGCUCGUUGAGAAUACAGGAAAACUCAUUUUAAAACCUAGGCCUCACGUUCAGUGACAAUCUGCACUCAUUGUUACGGGACCUAAAACAGCCUUUCUUCAAAGAAGUGAUACAGCAAAAAGCCAUAAAGGAUUCCUUUUACAGUCGGAUAAGUGAAGGUCAUAGCAACAGCUGACAAGAAGUGUGCAAUAUUUCCCCAGACGAUCUCGAUGAUGGUGGCUCGCCUCCUCCGUGCUUGGUACCUUUGAUUGUCUUGUUACAGUAUUAGUGUCACUUUAGUACUUCAGACCCUGCAGAGACUUCUGCAGAUGAAGUAUGUCUGUAUGUUACUAAGUUAAACUUAGAAACGGAACCUCAUCCAGUUUUUAUAAUGUAUUUUUGCAAACUACUGUAAAUAGCAAAUCAAUGCCAGUGUCAAAGAGGGAAGCGUUCUGUGGACUUCGUUCUCCUGCAUCAGUAUCGUAGGACCAUCUGUUUGCCAUCCCCACGGCUCUUCACACCCAGCUGUGGAGCAUAGCCGUGCCUUUCAUUCUGCACCCCUCUGUUUUAAUCAUAAUGCAAGAGAAACACCGGAUUGAGUGUAAACUGAGGAAGACUCAUCUCCAUUAUGUUGUGAGAAGUUAUAGAUGUUCUGAGAAACCAUUUUUGUUAAACCAGGUAGUGAACUUCAGCCACUCUUAUGGUAACCAUUUCCACUUUGUUGUUUUCCUUCAAUGCUAAAUAUACUUGAUAUUUUUUUAAUAAUUCUGAGAACACUCCAAAGGCUUCUGAAUAUACAAGUUUAGUUAUAAAUUAUGUACUGUCUGGGAAUUUGAUAGUCCUCGUUUUAGAUCAUUGGAUCUUAAUGCCGUGGUGGGCGUGCUGUUACCCUGGUGUUGCACGGGGGUAACUGAUCAGCCGCUCCAUCACGGGGGUGACUUGGGAGCGGCGCCCCAACUAGAGUCCACAAUUCUCACUGUUCCGAGAGUGUUAAUGACAUACUGUGUAUGCAUUUUAGCCACCUGUACUAUAAUUGCCCUUAAUCUUAAACUAUUGGGAUUGUUGUAAAUAUUUUAAAGAACUGGAGGUGCCUUUUACCUGUUUAUUAGAAGAUUUUGAAAAGGUUUAAAUUAUUCCACAAGCAGUCUUUUAAAUUCCAUUUAACAUAAAGCUGAAAAUUCACUCACAGGACAAAAACUUUUUAACAAGGCUACCAUUUAACUUAACUGUGUUCAUCUUGGCUUUCACGUGUAUCAGAUUUUAUUAUUGAAACUGCAGCAAUAAGACCCUCUGCUCCUACAAAGUCAUCAGAGGGCAUUCUAUAUAUUCGGCACUGUUUAAUUUUCUGUAAAUUUUGUAGGUAAAUAUGUGCAUAAAAAUAAAUACUUUAUAUAUCAUUA